rnacentral:rRNA from 1 species
GAACCUGCCUCAAAGAGGGGGACAACNGUUGGAAACGACUGCUAAUACCGCAUAAGCCCACGGCUCGGCAUCGAGCAGAGGGAAAAGGAGCAAUCCGCUUUGAGAUGGCCUCGCGUCCGAUUAGCUAGUUGGUGAGGUAACGGCCCACCAAGGCGACGAUCGGUAGCCGGACUGAGAGGUUGAACGGCCACAUUGGGACUGAGACACGGCCCAGACUCCUACGGGAGGCAGCAGUGGGGAAUAUUGCACAAUGGGGGAAACCCUGAUGCAGCGACGCCGCGUGGAGGAAGAAGGUCUUCGGAUUGUAAACUCCUGUUGUUGAGGAAGAUAAUGACGGUACUCAACAAGGAAGUGACGGCUAACUACGUGCCAGCAGCCGCGGUAAAACGUAGGUCACAAGCGUUGUCCGGAAUUACUGGGUGUAAAGGGAGCGCAGGCGGGAAGACAAGUUGGAAGUGAAAUCUAUGGGCUCAACCCAUAAACUGCUUUCAAAACUGUUUUUCUUGAGUAGUGCAGAGGUAGGCGGAAUUCCCGGUGUAGCGGUGGAAUGCGUAGAUAUCGGGAGGAACACCAGUGGCGAAGGCGGCCUACUGGGCACCAACUGACGCUGAGGCUCGAAAGUGUGGGUAGCAAACAGGAUUAGAUACCCUGGUAGUCCACACCGUAAACGAUGAUUACUAGGUGUUGGAGGAUUGACCCCUUCAGUGCCGCAGUUAACACAA